GCUGGAAUAACUGAGUUGGUUAGAGCGUGUGGUUGUUAACCACAAGGUCGGAGGUUUGACCCCUCCUUCUAGCG
rnacentral:tRNA from 1 species